rnacentral:tRNA from 1 species
GCCGGACAGAGCAAUUGCCUUCUAAGCAAUCGGUCACUGGUUCGAAUCCAGUACAACGCGCCA